GUUCUGACACAAACAGUCAUCAAACCAUAAGCCAUAAGCAACAUAUUAUAAACUCCGAUACCAACAUUUCGAAAAUAGCUAAAAUUCUAGUGCUUUUAUUGGCCCUCAACUCUUCUCUACACAAUAAGUAUAUAAUAAAAUAUGUCUAAAAGAAUUGAUAAUUAUGAUCUAAUGAGCGACCCUGACAACCCCCAAACGGUAACGUUUGAAGAUAUCCAAGCCGCCCUAGCACGAAUACGACCCUACGUGCCUGUGACACCUGUUGUACUAUCGCAUCAAAGCAUGACGUUCACAAUGAAUAUUAUUUACAAGAUGGAAAGUGUCCUCCCAUCCGGAAGCCAUAAAGAGCGCGGGGUUGCAAAUGCUCUUCACCAAAUAUCCAGGGACUCCAAGAAGGUCGGCUUAAUGAUUGCGUCUCUAGGGAACCACGCCUAUUCGAUGGCUUACCACGCUGCACGCAUGAAUAUCCCAAUCACCGCGAUGUUUCCUGACUUCGUUCCCAUACAGAAAUUGCAGAAGAUACACGCGCUUGGCGCUAAGGUAUUGGUGCGAGGGACCAACAUCGCGGACACACACAAAUUAGCCCGGGCCAUGGCGAAGGAAAAAGGACUCUUAUUUAUCAAUGGUCGUGACCACCCGAACAUUCUAGCCGGACUUGGGACAAUUGGGAUAGAGAUUCUAGAGCAAGUGCCCACUGUGGACGCGGUGCUGGUGCCCGUCGGCACGGGCGGGCUCAUCGGCAGCGUGGGCACCGUCAUCAAGAGGCUCAAGCCCAACUGCCUUGUUUACGGCGUGCAGUCAGAACUGAUGCCUGUGUUCGCCAAAGCACUGGAAGCCGGCGAACCGGUCACUAUUCCGGAUGUGAACACUAUUGCUGACUGUCUGCAGGUGACCAGAGCUGGCGUCAAUGCCUUCCACAACGCCAAAUCUGUCAUUGACAAACUGUUGCUUGUAAAGGAAGACUGGGUGGCACGUGCCAUACUAGCGCUGGUAGAGCAGGAACGCUUCGUGGUGGAGGGCGCUGGUGCCUGUCCGCUCGCUGCAAUCAUUGGACACUUGGUUCCUGAGCUCAAGUCGAAGACGGUCGUAUGCCUUAUCACCGGUGGAAACAUAGACAGUAGUUUCCUAGCCCGAUGCUUUGAUAGGGGUCUAGCAGCAGAAGGCAGACUCAUAAAAUUCAGAGUGGGGAUCAAAGACAGUUCGCCUGAAUUAGGCAAAUUGAUGAGGUUGAUCGCCGAUCUGGGAUUUAACGUCCUACGCCAUUUCCGCGAUGCUGUGUGGGUCGAGGAUGACGUGUACCACGUAGAGAUGCGAAUAGUGUGUGAGGGAAGGAAUUUGGAACACUCUCUGGAGCUGAAGCGAGCGUUGGACAGAGCAUAUGCCGGAUUAACUCUGUUCGACACUGAACCGUUUAACGAUAAAAGUAUGUGCCCGUGUUAUGUUGCCAAGAUUUGAUCGAGAAAGGUUGUCCAGGUUGUGGAUUCAGUUACUGCUCCAAAUGUUUAGAACACAAGAUAUUUUUACAGAAAAUUAAUUCAGAAGCCAAGGUAUGUGUAAAAUGUAAGCAAACAGCUCAACAAUUGAAAGGGGCUAAGCCGAU